rnacentral:lncRNA from 1 species
CACCUUGGUUGCUCCUCCUCAGCCUCCUCUACCAGAUGGUACUAAUGCUUUAUCUGCUUCUUUGCCGCUUCCCCCUCCACCUCCUUUGCCACCAACUACAGGCCUUGCUUUACCCCAUCCACAAUUUCCACCACCGCCUCCUGGUCCCCCUCCAAAUGAACAUGAUCUGGGUCGAUCAUGAGCUACAUCUAGCUAAUAGAUUACGGAAAAUUAUUUAUCUACCUCCAAAUGAACAUGAUCUGGCUCUGGUUCGUCUUCCACUUCCUCAAUCCUCCCAACUCCCUCCUCCUGUUCUAAAUGGAAGUGAAGGCGAUGGCAGGUUCCCUGAAUCUUCAGUUCAAACCUUCGACGAGGGCAAG